rnacentral:rRNA from 1 species
GUGAGACAGGUGCUGCAUGGCUGUCGUCAGCUCGUGUUGUGAAAUGUUGGGUUAAGUCCCGCAACGAGCGCAACCCUUAUCCUUUGUUGCCAGCGGUCCGGCCGGGAACUCAAAGGAGACUGCCAGUGAUAAACUGGAGGAAGGUGGGGAUGACGUCAAGUCAUCAUGGCCCUUACGACCAGGGCUACACACGUGCUACAAUGGCGCAUACAAAGAGAAGCGACCUCGCGAGAGCAAGCGGACCUCAUAAAGUGCGUCGUAGUCCGGAUUGGAGUCUGCAACUCGACUCCAUGAAGUCGGAAUCGCUAGUAAUCGUGGAUCAGAAUGCCACGGUGAAUACGUUCCCGGGCCUUGUACACACCGCCCGUCACACCAUGGGAGUGGGUUGCAAAAGAAGUAGGUAGCUAAACCUUCGGGAGGGCGCUUACCACUUUGUGAUUCAUGACUGGGGUGAAGUCGUAACAAGGUAACCGUAGGGGAACCUGCGGUUGGAUCACCUCCUUACCUUAAAGAAGC